AGCCCCGCGCUUCGGCCAGGACUCUCGGCCCCGCUUCUCCGACGCCGCGGCCGAGCCACACACCAGCGAGAGCGGUUUGAAAGGCCCGCUUAUUUCUUUUCUUGUUUCCGCUCUACUUGCGGAUUCUUUGUUUGGGCUUGAGUGGGGUCAGGCAGCGUCGUGAGACAGCGGCGUUGGUCGCUCAUCCCCUCAGGGAUAAUGUGAGAAGUAGGCUCCUGGUUAGCGAGAGAAAUCAGGAAAGGCAACGAGAACUAAAAUCUUCAUUUCACCUCAGAGUUGAACGACCGACUCCUUUUCCAGAGACUCGCCCGCAACUCAGGCGGGAAUGGCCCCGAGAGCGCGCGGCUGGCGUCUGAGCCUGGCGGCGCAGGCCGGGCGUUUGGGGCACGCGGGGACAGGACACCGCCGUCUGGGGCGCGGCGAGGGGCCAGCGCUGGAGCUGCUGCUGCUGUGGAGGCCACAUGGGAGAGACUUUUGACACAGGCCACUGUUUCUGUUUUCAAGCGAGAGCGCCUGUAUCCAAAACUCUGGGUCCCGCGCGAUGCAGGGCCCUCAACUGUAGGCAAAGCACCACCUGAAGUUCGCCUCGUAGGUUUGAGACUGUAAAUUGUAAAAUAAGAUAUGAAAGUAUGAUCCGAUCAAUCCUUACUGUUUACUGGACAACUAUUUUGGAGAUAGAGUUUCACUCUGUCACCCAGGCUGGAGUACAGUGACCCAUCAUGGCUUACCACAACCUCGAAUGCUUGCAAACCUCCUGCCUCAGCCACCUGCGUACCUGGGACUACAGUUAUACAGGACUCUCCACCACAGGACUGGAAAGAGACUGGACAUCAGAGAGAAGUGCUCCUACUGGCCUAGAAGAAAGCAAACAUCCAUGUUAUGAACUGUCUAUGGGGUCUCCAAGGAAAGGAACUAUGAGCUGAAAGAAGUCUUCAACCAACAGUCAGCAAGAUAACUGGCACCUUAGUCCUGUAACGGCAAGGAUUGUGUUCUGUGAGCCACCUGAGGACUGUGGAAAAGGAUGCCAAAUUCCAAAUGAGAAGCGCAGUGUGCCUGACACCUUGACUGCAGGCUUAGAGGCCCUGAGUAGGAGAUCCAGUUCAACAGUGCCUGGAGUCCUGACCCACGGACUGGGAGAUUGUGGUAAUUUUCUACACAGCAACAGAAAACUCAUCACACACAUACACACACAAUUAUGAGUACUUGCUAUACAUAGGCUUUUAAUUAAUCCAAUAAUCUAUAUUUUAUGAUGGUCUUAAAAGUAAAUGGAAUUACAUUAAAUUCACUGUGUUUCCCAGCCUCAUUUUUAGAGGUUUUCCUUUCCCAGAAUUAGGUGGCCCCAAGACUGUUAUGUAUUUGAACACAUGGAUAACUUCCAGAAUAGUUAUGAUAUUCAUACACCAAUCUGUCAUAUUCCUGGAAUACCAUGUUUCCAUGGUUGACUUUCAGCUUAGUCAGUUUUUUGUGAAAUUCAGCCAUACAGAUAGGGCAAACGAUGUUUCAGACAUAUCCAGACAUUGACACAAAAUGCAGCCCAUAGAAACUCAAAAUCAAGUGCUCUGUAAUUCCUCAAGGUGUGUGACUCCACCAACGUCAGACAAGUUGAGCCAUGGGAAUGCAAUAUCCAGUUGCCAUCUUGUUGAUUCUCAUAUGCUACCAGCAUCUAGCAUUUACUUAGUACUUACUGUGUGCCAGGUACUUUUCUGAGGAUCUUAAAUUAUAUCACUUAAUCCCCUCAACUUUUUGAAGAUAGUUUUAUUGUCCCCAUUGUACAGAUGAGAAAACUGAGGUAUUGUGGAAGUUAAGUAGGUUGCCUAAGGAUACCAAAAUGACAGAACCCAGAUUCACUCCCAGACAAGAAGAUGCCAUUGUCUGCUCUCUUAACUACCAUGGUAUACUGCUGCAUGUACAAUUUGAUAUCUGGAGUUGAACAAAUCAACAACAUCCUUGUUUUUUUCUCAUCAGUUUUAGAUUCAAAUAAUUUAAAUGUCUUCUUAAGAAACUACAAUUUUUGAGCCAAAGAAGAAUGGGAGAGUGGGUCCCACCAGUUGAGUCCCUUCAUCCCUAUAAUUAAAAAAUUAAAUAAAAAAUAAAUAAAUAAAAAAUAAAAUCCCUAUAAAAAAUAAAAACCCUAUAAAUAAAAAAUCCUUGAUUUGAAGAAGCAGCAGUAAACCUCUCCUUCUCAAGCUUGCCAUUUGGCUGCUUUAAAUAGUUGACAGGAUCUGCUCAAGUUCUUCUGACUUCUGCAUACCCUGGAAAUGGUUAAAGGCUUAAGCAGGAAGCCAUUCCCCUUUUAUCAGCUACUAUAACAUCAUGUGGCAAGUUUACCAGAGAAGAGAUUCCUGAUGAAAGAUGCAAGAAAAGCUGGACACAUUAAGCAGUCUUUUCUUGAUAAGAAUCAAUGGUAGGCACCUUCAUUUCCCUUUACUCCAAGGGACCUAUAUGCAGAACACAAACUCACUUUUUCUAUGUUUAGAUCAGGUUCUCAAAUUCGUUCCUAGCAAACAGCUCUAACAGGGUCAUGAAUGCUAGUUAAUUGGCUAUAAUCACACCACUGCACUUGGCUAUAAUCUCUUUUUUUCUGGCUAAAUAAUGAGGUGGACCACACACCUGCAUCAGAGCACUCACUUUUGGCCCUUAAUCAUAUUUGGACUUCUUUAGUACAGGGAAUGCCAGGUGUAGGUAUCACCCUUGUUGUCUCAACAGCAUGACACUUAACAGCACUUCUAUGCUACUUUGAAUCAACAAGAAUCAGUUCUGCUAUAAUACAACAUAUGUAAUCCUGAACAAUCACUGCACUAUGCAAAACUGUGCAAUAAAAACCAUAGGGCUGGGCGUGGCGAGGUUGCUCACACCUGUAAUCCUAGCACUCUGGGAGGCUGAGGCAGAAGGAUCGUGCUUGAACUCAGGAGUUUGA